rnacentral:snRNA from 1 species
GUGCUUGCUUCGGCAGCACAUGUACUAAAAUUGGAGCAAUACAGAGAAGAUUAGCAGGGCCCCUGCACAAGGAUGAAAUGCAAAUUCAUGAAGUGUUCCAUAUUUUU